rnacentral:misc_RNA from 1 species
GAUGAAGAACGUAGCGAAAUGCGAUACGUAAUGUGAAUUGCAGAAUUCAGCGAACCAUCGAAUCUUUGAACGCACAUUGCGCCCGCCAGUAUUCUGGCGGGCAUGCCUGUCCGAGCGUCAUUUCCCCCCUCACGCGCCCCGUUGCGCGCUGGUGUUGGGGCUCCUCCGCCUGGCGGAGGGCCCCGAAAGCGAGUGGCGGGCCCGGCUGGUUGGCUCCGAGCGCAGUACCGAACGCAAGUUCUCCCCUCGCUCAGACGCCCCGCCGGCGCCCUGCCGUCAAAACGCGCAUGACGUGCAACUCUUUUUACAAGGUUGACCUCGGAUCAGGUAGGACUACCCGCUGAACUUAAGAAUAUCAAUAAGCGGAGGA